GGGUAUUCUGUCACAGCCCCCUCUGCGAUGCUGCCACACGGGCAGCUCCAAAGUCUUACAAUUCAAGUGUGAUUUUCAUUUUUUAUUUUUUUUUUAUCUUGGAGAAGUUCAACCUGUGUAUUACACACAUCAGGAAAGAAGAUUGUGGUGCCCAAGUGGAAAUGGAAUAAUUGACUUUGUCACGUAAUAACUGGAUGCUGACUGGACUCCAACUGAAGCUGUGAUUUUCCGUUCACUUUUGCAUGAGGAGGCUUUGCUCCAAAUAUCAAGGAUUAUAGCUGAAAUUGUCUCCAUAAUACCAUGGCGGAAGGAGCUGCCUCCUCCUCCUCCUCCACAGCCAGUGGGUCCAGUGGAGCAGCUCCACCACAGACGAUCCCCGUCAAGUCCAAAGGUCUGGGCCUCCUCGGGAAGCUGAAAGUGUCCGCGGAGCUGCUGGUGGCUCUGGCUGCUCUCCUGUCCUGGGUGGUGGUCGGAGUAGUGAUGUUUGACUUUGUGGAGUACAAGGCAGUCCCUGACAUUCAGCAAAUCGUUUCGGACCCCAUUGGAGCUGUAAACGACGCCGUCGAGGAAGCAUCCAGUCUACUCAAUAAGUUUCAGGAAUGUGCACCCGAUUUAAGUGACCCCACGUCCGCUGCCACCUACGUAGCUAAAGAAAUAUCUGAUGCAAAAGAUGGAUUUGUUCGCUAUUUUUCCGAUGAGGAAGGGAACUUCUACCUCAGCUAUGUUGACCCUGUGAUCAUCGGUAGACAAGCUUUCCAUUCGACCAAUGACUUAAUGCGUGGAGUCGUGGGCACCUUCAAGGACACAUUGUGCGCCAUUGUAGACGCCGCAUUAAAUACUAUAUCGGAUGUAAAUAAAGGAACCUCAGGAACCGUGGAUACUCCCUCCGUGGACCCUGUUGUAGUUGGCAGAAAUGUCUUCAGUCUUACAAAUGACACCGUGAGUAGACUAGUGGGCUACAUCCAGGACGUACUCUGUGCCAUCGUAGACAGUGUGCUGGAUUUAACUAAAGGAACCACCGACACAAGCUUCAUGGACCCUGUGGUUGUUGGUAGAAAUGUCUUCUGUGUUACUAAUGACUUUCUGAGUGGAAUAGCCGGAUACAUCCAGGAUGUGCUCUCUGCCGCCUUGGACGUGAUACUGGACACAGUAAAAUAUCUGCAGCAUGCUGUGGGAUUCAGCCCGACGUCAGCUCUAAAGAGAACAGCAGAAAUCAGCACAGAGCAGAUGAACACGCUUGUGAGCUACGUCUCCACGCUGAUUGGUCAACAAGACAUCAUGCCAGAAGUUUCCAUUGACCCCAUGAAAGUGGUUGAAGAUGCUCUGUUGGAGGCCUCGGACAAGAAAGAUUUGUUCGUGGCUUACAUGUCGAGCAUGCUUGUUGCUGAUCGAGAUGAAGCUGUAGCUCUCCCAUCUAAUUUGAAUAUGUUACGAAGAAAAGGAGAAUUUCUUCCGUCUUUGGGAAAAGUUACAGAGAUCAUGCAAGCUGCCAAAGAUGCUGCUGCUGCUUCUGCUGCUGAAGCCCCAGACUCAAAGAUCAAGGAGGAGGAUGGAGACGUUUCCACUGAAGCUGCCUACGAAGUGGACGUGGAGGAGGAGGAGGAUGUGAAACAUAUCAACCUUGAAGAAACAGAACAUGAACCACCAGCCAUCAAUGAAGGAGACAAGGUCGACAGAGAGGAGGAGGAACAUGAGGAGAUUCAAACAGAGGAGGAUGCGAUUUAUGAGGCGGAAGAAACAGAGGAUGCUGAAGGAGAAGAAGGUGGAGAUAUUAUUAAAACAGCCACUGAAGAAGAACAAGUAGAUGAACCAAGUGAGGAGCAGGAAGAGGAGAUCAAAGUUGAAGAUGUUUUGGCGAAAGAGGAGAAGGAAACACAUACAGAAGAGGAUGCAUUAAAAAAAGAUUUGGUAGUGGAAGUGGAGGAGGAGACCAUAUCUGAAGACAUUUUGGUAAAAGAGAGGGAGGAGGACGAAGAGGAGGAGGAGGAGAAAAAAACUGAAGAUGUUUUCGUAGACGAUGGUGAGGAAGAAGACGACAGAAAAACUGAAGUGGAAGUUGAGGAGGUGGAGGAUACUAACAUUGAAGAACACACCAUAGAAGAUGAUGAGGAGACAAAAACAGGACUUCUGGUAGAGGAGGAGGAGGAAGUGGUGGUGUUGGUGGUGCAGGAGGUCAAGCAUGAGGAGGACGGGGAGGUACAAAAUGAAGAGAUUUUAGUAGAAGAUGGUGAGGAAGAAGAGGAGAGUAAAACUGAAGUGGAAGUGGAGGAGACUAUAAUGGAGGAACAUGCAGGAGAGGAUGAAACAAAUAUAGAACUUGUGGCAGAAUUAGAGGAGGAGGAGGAGGAGGAAGAGGAGGAGGACGACGUGUUGAUAGGAGAUGGUGAGGAAGAGAAGGAGACAAAAACAGAAGAUGCAGUUGAAUAUUUGGAAGACAAUAAAGAGGAGGAGGAGGAAGACGGCGAGGACGAAGAGACAACAACAGAACUUGUAAUUGAAAACGAGGAGGAGACCGAAUCUGAAGAAGAUUUGGCAGAGGCUGGGAUAGAUGAUGAGAAAAAAACAGUAGAAGUUCAAGUAAAAUCAUUGGAAGAUUUUGAUGAGGAGGAGAACGAAGAUGAAGAUCUUCGUGUUGAUGAAGGAAGCGACAAAGAAAUAAAUGAAAUUACUGAUAUCAACGAUCAGCUUUCUAAAACUAACCAGGAACUAGGAGCUUUAGAUGCUGAAGAUAAAAAGAAUUUAGAGGAGGAGGAAGCAGAAGAACCGUUCAGAGUGGAGACGACGGAAGUGGACAAAGGAGAUGAAGAAGAAGAGCCAUCUGCCCAACGUCUUGAUUUUGAAAUUAUAUCAUCUAAAACACCAAAUAAUGCAGGUGUCAUACCCGAAUCCAACAACGUUAUAGAAGAGGAAACAACAGUCAAUGAAUACUCUGACAUCAUCAACGAACGUGAUGAAAACAAUGAUGAGAUUGAAAGCGUGAAAUCUGAAUCUGAACAAAAAAGGGAGGUUCAUGUUCCCUUUGAGAGACUGAGAAGAGUCGGCUCCAGAGCUGCUCACAAAGAGGAACACCUUCACAAACGUGGGAAAGUUCUCAAAGCGGCAAAGGAAAGACGAAAAGAAGUUAAAGACGCCAUUAUCAAAGACCUCGAGGAGGAGAAAAAAGAGGGAGCCAAACUUGAGGAAAUCAUUGAAAAGAAACCAAAAGAAGAAAAGCUAAAGGAAGAGGCUAAACCAUUUGAGAAGAAACCACUGAAGCACAAAGAAGAAGAGACUAAAAAGAAGGAAGAACCCAAUAAACCACCUAAAGGAGAGAAAAGAGUGAAGCAUACUAAGGAGGAGAAAGAAACAAAACAGGUGACAGAAGCGAAGAAAACCAAUAAAACAGAAAGACGCCAAGAAACCAUCUAAAACAGAACAAGAUGUCAUGAAACCAUCCACUGGAGUCAAGAAACCACUAAAAGAAGACAAAGUAGUCAAGCUACUACUUAAAGAAGAGAAAGAGGUUCAGAAAGAAACUAAAGCAGAGAAAGAGGAAAAGAAAUCAUUAAAAGGAGUCAAAAAAAUACCUCAAGAUGAGAAAGAGGAAAGGGAAGUUAAGAAAGCAUCUAUAGAGGAGAGAGAAGUCGAGAAACCAUCUCAAGGUGAGAAGGAGGUCAAGAAACUACAUGAAGAAGAGAAAGAAGUCAGGAAACCAAUUCAAGAAAAGGAAGCAGUAAAGAAAUCAUCUCACAAAGUGAAAGAAGUCCAGAAACAAACUCAAGCAGAGAAAAACAUCAAGAAACCAUCUAGAGAAGAGAGGUAUGUGAAGAAAAACGACAAAAAAGAAGUGAAGAAACCACCUAUAGAGGAGAAAGAGAUCACGAAAGCAUCUCCAGAAGUGAAAGAGAUCAAGAAACCAUCUGAAGAACAGACAGAGGUCAAGAAGACUAGACAAGAAACACAAUACAAGAAAGAAGAGAAAGAAGUCACAAAAGCAUUUGAGGAAGAGAGAGAAGUCAAGAGACUAUCAAGAAAAGAUAAUAAUGUUGAGAAACCAUCUGAAGAAGAAAAAGAAGUCAUAAAAAUCCCUGGACAAGAGAAACAAGUCAGGAAACCAAUUGCAGAAAAGAAAGAGGUAAAUAUAUCAUCUCAAGAAGAGAAGGAACCUCAAAAACCAACUCAGGCCCUGAAGAAAGUCAAGAAACGAUCGAAAGAACAGACGACGGUCACGAAACACACUAGACAAGAAAAACAAUGCAAUAAACCCACUCGAGUUGAGAAAGUAGUUGAAAAAAAACCUGAAGAGGAGAAAGAAGUCACAAAACCACGUGAAGAGAGCAAAGUCAAGACACCAUCCAGAGAGGAGAAAAGAGUCAAGACGCCACUAAAAGAAGAGAAACAAAUCAAGAAAACAUCUAAAGAGGAGAAACCAUUCAGGGAAACUUCUAAAGAAGAGAAAGAGGGCAAGAAAACACCUAAAGAACUGAAAAAAGUCAAGAUUCCACACAGAGACGUGACAAACGUAACAAAACCACUUCAAGAAGCAGUCAAGAAACAUUCAACAGAAGAAAAACAAGUCAAGACACCACCCAAAGAAAAGGAAGACGUCAAGACACCACCCAAAGAGGAGAAAGAGGUCAAGACACUACCUAAAGGAAGGAAAGAAGUCAAGACUCCACCCAAAGAGGAGAAAGAAGUCAAGACACCACCCAAAGUGGAGAAAGAAGUCAAGACACCACCCAAAGAAAAGAAAGAAGUCAAGACUCAACUUAAAGAAAAGAAAGAGAUCAAGACUCCACCCAAAGAGGACAUAGAAAUCAAGACACCACCCAAAGUGGAGAAAGAAGUCAAGACACCACCCAAAGAGGAGAAAGCAGACAAGAAACCACUUAAAGAAAAGAAAGAGGUCAAUACUCUACCCAAAGAGGAGAAAGAACUCAAGACACCACCCAAAGUGGAGAAAAAGGUCAAGACACCACCCGAAGAGGAGAAAGAAGUCAAGACACCACUCAAAGAAAAGAAAGCAGUCAGCACUCCAUCCAGAGAAAAGGGAGAAGUCAAGAUACUAUCUAACCGAGGAAAAGGAUUAAAGAAUUCGCCAAAAGAAGAAAAAGAAGCCAACAAACCAUUGAAAGUACAUAGAAAUGUAUACAAACCAUCAAGGGCGGAGAGGGAAGUUAAUACAUCUUCUUUAAAAGGAAGAGAAGCCAAGAAACAACUUAAAGAAGUUAAAGAAGCAAUAAAACCAUCUCAAGAAGAGAAAGAGGUGAAGAAACAUCUUAAAGAACAGAAAGAAGAGAUAAAACCAUCUCAAGAAGAAAAAGAGGUGAGGAAACAUCUUAAAGAACAGAAAGAAGAGAUAAAACCUCUGAAAGAAGAACUAACUGAAAUGAAGUCUCACAAAGAUGAGAAUAAAUCACUCAAAGAAAGGCUACAAUUGAAACUGAAAAAGCCUCAAGAAGAAAUUGUAGCGAAAGUAAUGAAGCCCAAAGAACUGAAGGAAGCAGGGGAGCCUUCCAAGGAAAGGAAAGAAUUGAAGAAACAUUCAAAAGAAAAGGAAAUAAGGGAGCCACCGAAGGAGGACAAAGAAAUCAAGAGACCUACAAAAGAAAAAGAGAAAAAAGAGGUUAAGAAUCCAUCUGAAGAUGACAAAGAAGUAAAAUACUUAAAGAAAGGGACGGAAGACAAGAAGCCGUCUCUGAGGGAUAAAAAAGAAAAAAUACUUUCAGUGGAGGAAAAAGAAGUCAUCACACCCAUAAAGAAAGAAAGAGACCCAAAGAAAUCUUCAAUGGAGAAAAACCAAGCAAAACCUUCCAAAGAAAAGGCAGUUCCAAAAAAGCUCUCCAGAAGAAAACAAGCACAAGAGAAACCUUCAAGAGAUGGAAAGGAAUCAACAAUACUCUCUCGAAAGGAAGAAAAUGAACCAAAGAAGCUCUCUGAAGAACAAGACCCUGAGAAACCCUCCAAAGACCAGAGAGAAGUGACUCCCAAAGAGCAAAAGGAAGCAAAGAAAAUAUCUAUUGAAAACGUAGAACAAACAAAACCCUCCACAGAGAAAGAAAUCAAAAAGACCCAUAAAGACCAACCUGUCCAGAUUGGUGAUACUAAGAAAGAUGCUGGACCCAAAAAGGCUGAGAGGAGGAUUAAAGUAGUCAAGGAAGAGGUUGCAUCUGUUCUGAAGAAGGAACACCGUAAUGUCACAAACGCAGCUGUGGAACCCAAGAGGGCAGUCGAGGUGCUGAAAGCUGCCAAAAAGCAGAGAGUUCUUAUCCCGAAAAAGGAGCACAUGAUUGUGACAAAGACAGAGGUUCCUGAAACUCCUAAAGUGAAAGCCAAACAAGAAUCUGCAAAGAAAGUGGCAGCUCAUAAAGAGCCCGUACAGGAACCAAAGGAAAAAAUCACACCUACGCGUGUUAAACGAGAUGAUGAACCUAAGAAGGCUGCACAGAGGAUUAAAGUACUUCUCAAUGUUACGAAAGCAGAGAUUUCUAAACACCCUGACUUGAAAGCCAAACCAGAACCUGCGAAGAAAGACGUUUCAAAGGACAAAGCAAAAGCGGGUCCUGCUAAGAAAGAAGCUGUUGCUCUAAAAGAAAAGGCCAAAACAGUCAACAUGAAAAGAGAACGAGAGGGCGCUCCCAGAAAUGCGUCUCUGGUCAAACCGAGAGUCAAAAUAGUGCCUGUGAAAAAAGAGGUCACAGUGCCAAAAAAGGAAGUCAAAGCAGCUUCUGCAAAAAAAGAAGCUGCUCUAAAAGAAAAUACAAAGACAAAAACCUCACAGAAAGAACCUGAGACCAAGCUGCUUCUCGCCAGAAAAGCAAUUAAGUUAACAAAGGAGACGCCUCAGCCACCUCGUGGAAAGAAAGCUCCUUCUAAAACUGAGGAUGACACCAAGGGAAAUGUCAAAUCCCUCCUCAGGAAGAAAGAACUGGAGACUCCUAAAGAAAAGAGCAAACUGGCUGCAGUGAAGAAAGCACCCGAGGUUCUAAAAGAAAAGGUCAAAACCUCUGCUGCAAAGAAAGAGGUCAGAGUUCGUAAAGAAAACGCAGAGCCUGUAAAACAAGAAAAAACAUUUGAGAAGAGGACAACCAAGGAGGAGAAAGCUAAAGAGGAUAGAGUUCUUAAAGAAAUACAAGAGCCAGCAAAGAAAGAAAGAUCUACUGAGAAGAAAGCUGCCAUGGAGGAGAAAAUAAAAGCUGGGCCUUCUGUAUCAGACAGCUUCCAAAUUGAAGAAGAGCUGCCCUACUUCCAGUGUUUCUUUUUGGACGAGGACGAGGCCCAAUUUCCUUUCCACGCCUUCUCGCCGAUGCAUAUUUGAGGCUUCAGUCUAAAUCCGGUCUGAGGUUUACAAUUUUUGUCAAUUUUACUGAUAAUGACCUGGUCACACCCUGCGCUGCUGAACGCAGCCUGCUGUUGGUUCUCACGAGAAAACCACGAACAGCAAAGGAUGAUGGGGGAUUUAAUGUGACGGUCGGACUUUCUUUCACUUCCAGAUUUGGUUGAGCUCUCGUACCGAAUACAUGCAGCCGGUGUCAUUCCUUUCCGUUUUGUUAUUUAUUUUGUGUGUUCAAUGGUUUUUAAAGGUGGAUAUCUUGGUGGAAUGGUGGAACUAUGUCGAGUAUUACCUCCGUGGAUCAUUCAUUUAGAUCCCCACAGCAACACAAGCAAAUGCAUUUUUUUUAGAAGGAGCACAAGGCUUUAAACAAGAUACAAAAUGGCCACAAUUGUGGAUUAAAGGUGGACAGAGCGUCGAUUCCCAGCGUUUACUUGAAAAGUGGUUCGUAGAGAAAUAGUAAGAAGAUUGUUAUGCACCAUAUGUAAUUUCAACUUUGUCCUUCAUCGCAUUGUUUAUGGGCAGAUUUUUAGUGCGUAUUUUAUUUUGCUUUUAAAGCCCUGGAAUUAACAAUUGGGCAUUUGUAGUGUUUGUUUAUUAUUCCAUUAUUCUUGAUAUCAUUUCAUUAAUUUCAAGGAAACCUUGUUUUUCACGUUCCUCUAUCUUACGAGAGAGAUGUAUUUUUCCGUUUUUGACUACGGCCUGUAAUGUGUCUAAAGGAAUGACCACGCAUUGUAUAUGAGAGCUCCCAGACGUACUGAUGAAACGCUACCUAUAAAGUCUUAUUUAACUGUGGACAUAUGCACACGCUCCUCAUUUGGGCGUUGGCGCUGAAAACGAGCAUUGCCUCGCCUGUACCUGUCAGAAUGAAUGAAGACGUGUUGUAAAAGGAUUUUCCCAACUGCUCACUCGGUUCCAAUUCCUUGACUUUAGGCGUUUGAAUUUGAUGAAACUUGUUGAAGUCAAUAAGAGAGAGCGAGUAAAAGAAUUGUCUCGCACAGUUGCACUGGUCACUCGAUAGACCAAAAAUGUGUGCAAAUAUGUAAAUAGCCUACAUGAUAUAUUGCAGCAACCUUUUGAACAGGUUCCUAACAUAUGACAUUUUAUUCAUGCAUAACUUAUAUUACAUGCAAAGGAUUUGUAUUACCUUUAACAAAUAUCCUGUGCUGUACAGUAUGGGUGACAUUAUUUCAGAUUGAUUUUGAAUACAAUUACUGGUCAGAACUUGAAUCCAAGUUAUAUUUUUGAAAUCUCUGAAGAGUGAUCGUGUGAAAGAUGAUGACAAGAGCUGCGAUAAUCAGCUCUGCAGGUUUUGAAGACCUGGAUGUUGCUACGGUGGUUAUGUUGGUAUCAAAGUGAAACAUUGAGAAGAAACAUUUACACAUUUGAAAAUAUCUGCACAUCAUGUGGCUACACUUUAAAUGGAUGCAGAUGGCGUCACAUGAUCUCGGAUGUAAACUGGUACGUGGACUCUCAGCCCGUACAAGCUGUUGUUUACCUGUGCCUCUUUAAAUUCUGCUCCAUAUGCCGCAUAGAAGACAGUUCGUGGAGCUUGUGCCACUUAUCCCAAGUCCACUCAAAUCCCCUUAUCUGUUUGGUUAGAAUAAUAGUCCAUGCAGUCGAUGGGGCAUAGGUCCUUUUUCCAAAAGUCGCAGCCUGCUGUCUUUGCAUGUGUAUUUUGAGAUGCAGAAUUGGAGCAAAAUAUUGCUGCUAGAAUGACAAAUGGCGUUUUGAUUUGAGUGGACAAUAGAGGAAUAUUUGUUUUUAUGGUUUGAAUUGAAUUUGACCUGAAAUGGACUUGUCAGGAUGUGCAAUACAGAAUUAAUUUAUGAAUAUCUGAUUGAUCAGAACCCUGUACAUUUAUCUUUUAGUCCUUGAAUGAAAUAUGCAUGAAGUGUGUUCGUGUUUAAUGUUUUUUGUGAUGGUUUUUACCUCCUUUGAGAAUAGCAACACAUUGGAAGUUAUCGAGUCACAUUUGAAAUAAUCUUAUUGUAAAUUGUUAAAUAAGUGGCAAGAUUGAUCGAUUUAUCAUCACUACUGCAACUGCUUUAACUGUAACCAAACGAAUGUGCCUAUGUGAAGAGUAGCAAUGUGACAUUAAAACAUAG
ensembl:lncRNA